GAAGGAAUCUGUGUCCCCCCCAGGAGCCUAGCUUGUACCCAUCUCGGGGCCUCGCAGCCCACCUAACUGAAUUUAGGCUCCUGUUACAAAGCUGAAAGAAGUUUCCUCGUGGCUGGCUCAUCCCGAAGUAAUAGAUCUUACUCUACGGAACUUCUGUAAUGUUAGUAUCUGAACAACAAUUUAUUUUGAAGAGUUCCUGAUUGUUUCUUUAGAUGGGAAUACUCUCUUACUCCCCUAGGUAUCGCGCGUUUACCUGUAGCCAGGAUUGGUGCUGUACUUUGGAUCUCUCUGAGGAUCUAGCAAACAGGGCUUCUCAGGUGUUCGGUAAGUCUUCCCUGCCAGCAGCUACAUGGAACAGAAGCAGGGGGACGAAGUCUUCAUUGUGUCCCCCAGGAAAGGAACUGAAGGAGUGUGAUCUGCCGUGGAGGAGGGGCUGUGGAUCUUUAAGGGGAGCAAAGGAAAAGAUGCCUCUUUUCGGUCUGCAGAAUGAGCUGACUAUGGAUGUCUCCCACCUGCAUGGCUGAGGAAACCGCUGCUGGACUCAGAGUGAUCCCACAAAGGUCAGAGUUCAGACCUAAAUUUAUUUCUUUACCUCGAGAGCUGGUGUUAGCUAUAAAUGUAAGCCAACACGCACAUAUGCUAGAACACAUAUAAUUUAAAAAGAUAUUAAUCUGGCCAUAUUCUAUUGAACUUCUUUCAUGCUCACAUUUUCCUUUCCUUUACCCUGUAUGUAGAUAUUAUAAGGAAAAAGAUUGAAUUACUCGAUUGCAUUCAGAUCAGCCCAGUCCUGGCUAAUGCAGUAGAACAAGAAAAGGAAACAAAAGGCGUAUAGAUUGCGAAGAAAUAUAUACAAUUAUUGUUCACAGGUGAAAUGAUCAUCUAUGUAGAAAAUCCAGAGAGUUAACAAAAUAACUCCUGGAACUAAUGAGCAAGUAUAGCAAGGUUGUAGAAUACAAGGUUAAUGUACAGAAGUCAAUCAUUUUCCUAUAUACUAGUGAUGAAAAAGUGGAUUUGAAAUUAAAAGCACAAUACCAUUUACAUUAGCACCCCCCAAAAGUGAAAUACUUGGGUUAGAAAUCUAACAAAAUAUAUACAUGAUCUAUAUGAUGAAAGCUAUAGAACUCUGAUGAGGGAAAUCAAAGAACUAAGUAAUGGAAAAGUAGUUCAUGUGCAAACUCAAUAUUGUCAAGGUGUCACUUCCUCCCAAACAUGAUAAAUAGAUUCAAACCAAUCCCAAUCAAAAUCUCUCCGAGUUAUUUUGUGGAUAUUGACAAACUGAUCCUAAAAUUCAUAUGGAAAGGUAAAAGACAUCAUAUAGCCUACGUGAUACUGAGGGGGAAGAACAAAGUUGGAGGAUUGACAUUCCUGAUUUCAAGAUUUACUGUAAGUACUAUACUCUAAUCAAGACAGCAUGGUAUUGGUGAAAGAAGAGACAAAUCGAUCAAUAGAAACCAAUAGAGAGCCUAGAAUUAGGCCCAUAUAAAUAUGAUCUAUAACAAAGGAGCAAAGCAAUGCAAUGGAGCAAAGACAGUCUUUUCAACAAAUGGUCCUAGAACAACUGGACAUCCACAUGUGAAAAAUGAACGUCUACGCAAACCUUAUGUGCUUCAUAAAAUUAAAAUUGUUUGUGGACCUAUGAAUAUAAAUGUAAAACACAAAACUAUAAAACUGGAAGGUAAGACAUAGGAGAAAACCUAGAUGACUUUGGGUAAGUUCAUAACUUUUUAGAUACAAGACCAAAGACAUGAUACAUGAAAGGACUAAUUGGCAAACUGGACUUCAUUAAGAUUUAGAACUUAGGAUUCAUGAAAAACGAUGCCAAGAGAGUGAGAAGAUGAGCUACAGACUGGGAGAACAUUUUUGAAAAAGGCAUAUCUGAUAAAGGACAAUUAUACAAAAUAUACAAAGACCUCUUAAAACUCACCAGUAAGAAAACAAACAACCCAAUUAAAAAAUGGGCCAAAGACCUUAGCAGACAGACCACCAAAGAAGAUAACUAGAUGGCAGAUCAGCAUAUCCAAAGAAGCUCACGUCAUAUAUCACCGGGAAAACGCACACUAAAGGGACCGUGAGAUACCGCGACACACCUAUUUGGCGAAAACCCAGAACACUGGUGUCAAACGCUGGUGGGACGUGGUGGGAAUGCAAAAUGGUAGAGCCACGUUAUAAGACAUUUUGGCAGUUUCGUACAAAACUAAUCAGACCCUCGCCAUGUGAUACAGUAAUCAUGCUCCUUGGUACGUACUCAAAGGAGCUGAAAACUUGUGUCUACAAAACCUGCGUGCUGAUGUUUACAGCAGCUUUAUUCACAGUUGCCAAAACUUGGAAGCGACCAAAAUGUCCUUCAGUGAGUGAAUGGAUAAAUGGACUGUGAUCCAUUUAGGCAGUCAGCUGUUAUUCGGUGCUAAAAAGAAAUAGCUCUCAGGCUGAGAAGACGCGAAGGAGCCUGAUACGCGCAUUACUACGGGAAAGAGGCCAAUCUGAAAAGUCCGCGCACGUGGGACUUCCAUCGUGGCUAUGGAGACGGCAUGACCAUCAGUGGUUUCUAGGGGUGUUGUGCGUAUUGGGGGGGCUGGGGAAAGCUGCAUAAUAAGAACACAGAUAAUUUUGGGGGCUCUGUUUGAUAUAUACCGUAUUUUAUUUUCAUUAAUUUCUGCAAACUUACUCUCAAACAUUCAGUCUGAGAUUUUCAGGACAGAAUGGAGAAGUACAACUCAGUUCUUUCCUCUCUCGUCCUUAAAUGUUGAAAAUAGGAGGUAUUUAGUCAUUAAAGACCAAUGUAGACAUUUAUAUAUAUUUACUCUAUAGUACAAUAUUGAGAUGCAUGAAGACAUUUAUUUUCUGUAUUGUUUUAUCUUGCCAAAUGGCAAGGAGCUCCUCAAGGAACUCUAAAAGAUGCCUGCUGUGUGCUCUUGGUUCCAAGUUUCUGGCAUAAACCAUUGAAGGAAAUUAAAGGAAAAUAUGCUCUAUUUAAUUUGAUAGGAACAUCUGCAUUCUGCAGAAAGAAGAUUUACAUAUUAUAUAUUGGACUUCAUGCUUUUGCAGACUCCUUUUCACUUUUCACUAAUACCACAGGGCAGACAUGGGCAACUUAAGAGCCAUUUGGUUACUUUGCCUAGUCAGAUGCGCUUGGCGUUCCUGGGGAGAGGGCGUAUUCUAGUGGGACCGAAUGGGUAUGUGGCUGUGAACUGCGCUGUCGGAGUUGCUGGGCACGUGUCCCAGCCUGAUGUGACUAACAGCAAAGCAUCCGAAAUCACACUUGCCCAAAAGCACACUUUGAAUGCCAUGGAUUAUUAUUCAUUAAAUAUAUGAUUUCCUAACAGCAACCCUAUACCCAGCUUUGAAAAGCAAGCAAAGUUGGGAACUUGGAAUUUUCAAAUCAGAAAUAAAAUAUAUCUGUUCCCUAAUGCAGACUUUCUUCCCCUUGUCAGAAUUCUUAAACUACCAUCUUUCUUUGUCUUGUUCUUGCAUCAGUCUUUGUUGGGGAAGUUUCCAAAUUGGAGAGAACAGUGAAAAUAUUGUCAGGAAAGAAUUGUUUUCUCAAAGAAUUUAUGGUACAUUCUUCAUAAAGUAUAUUUAUAAGUAACAUAUAAAUGUCAUAGUUUAAUCAUGAGUACGAUCUUUCCUAUGAGGAAGGGAGUAUGCUAAAUUAACCAUAAUUAAGCUUGAUGUGACAUAUUUUAUGCUCAGUUUAGAGGGGGGCAAACAGAGAUUAAAGGGACAGACCUCAGACUGGGCACCAUCUCCACCAGGAGGCAGAUACUCUGUGCUGUGUGCCCAGGACAACUCUCACCCACACAAAUCUAACCAGCUUCCCUAAAAUUAAUGCCCCUGCUUUCAGGGAGCAUAAGAAUGUCCUGGGAAAUUUCUAAAGGGAUUAAACAAAAAGGAUGGAAGUAUUUUAAGGAAGAAGCUUAGGAGUCUCUUGGGAAAACAAAGUUUUAAAAAGCCCAAACUGUAAAAUAGCCGACAAAAAUAUGUAUAAAAUGUUAAGAGGAAACUCCAUAAAUUUUUUUACUUAAUUACUGGCUCAAUAGAUGUGAGAUUCAUGCCCUUCCAUCUCUUGCCUAGACCCCUUUGAAAAUAGGGAUGGAGGCAGGGGGAGCAGCAAGCACAAAUGAGGGGUAUUUUCUUCCAGAUUCCAAAGAAAAAGGCUUGUCUGGAGCCAAAUAUUUGUAAUCUUUGCUUUACUUCAAAUAAGAAAGCAGUUUUUCCAAAAAUCGCUUUGCUGAUAGGCCCAGUCUUUGUUUCUUUUUAAAAUACGUUAUUAAAAAUCUCUGUAAAUGACAGUCUAUGAGGAAUGUUGAAGUAUUUUGGAAUAUCUAAAUGCUUCCAGCUGCUAUCUUAAUUUUAAAGUAUUUCUUAAAGGGGAUUUCCAGCUUGUUGGCAGCAACAGAAUAGAAUUUCUCUGUCUUUUUAAAUCCUUGUUUCUGUUUCUAUUAUUGGAUUUUAUAAUGCAUCAUAUGAUUUACUUUGGAGUGACAAUAAAAUGCAUUCAUGUAGAAAUUUACAUUACUUCUUAAUUACCCAUUAAAAGCGUAUUUUCCCAUUAGUUUAGAGUUGCUCAAGUCAGAGGAGAAUGAUACAUUAAGACACAGUGCUCCCCUACUGAAGCUAGAAAAUCAGAAGUAGAAGGAAUGUAUUUUGCCUGAAGAUGACAUAUAUAGAGAUGAAACUGGGGUUAGAAAUCAGAUAUCUUGCCCUGGGCCUAUAGAAACGCCAAGGUUCAAUUCUUGUGAUGCCCACAAAAGAAAGGGUUCCCAGAUUUCUGGAGAUGGUGUGUAGAAAACAAAGGAAAGGGUGUGAUUCAGGAAGUUUCCUCUAAUCGAGGGCCUAAAACACUGGCUAGCAUACCUAUAGACUGAAGUCAGUAUGGGGUCUCAAAGGUUAGAGCAGUGUCUAUCGCAUGUCUCCGCCAUGCAAGUUCCAGUUCUCUUUCCUCCCAGCCCCACGUCCUUAGGAGAGAAUCUGAACUGUCUGUAAUCCUGAGAUCUCCCUUCUGGCCUAAGCUGUGUGCAUCAGUAGUAAAUACCAGAUACAAAGGAUGGGUUAGGCAGUCUCUCUAAUGA